rnacentral:rRNA from 1 species
UAGGGAAUCUUCGGCAAUGGACGAAAGUCUGACCGAGCAACGCCGCGUGAGUGAAGAAGGUUUUCGGAUCGUAAAACUCUGUUGUUAGAGAAGAACAAGGACGUUAGUAACUGAACGUCCCCUGACGGUAUCUAACCAGAAAGCCACGGCUAACUACGUGCCAGCAGCCGCGGUAAUACGUAGGUGGCAAGCGUUGUCCGGAUUUAUUGGGCGUAAAGCGAGCGCAGGCGGUUUCUUAAGUCUGAUGUGAAAGCCCCCGGCUCAACCGGGGAGGGUCAUUGGAAACUGGGAGACUUGAGUGCAGAAGAGGAGAGUGGAAUUCCAUGUGUAGCGGUGAAAUGCGUAGAUAUAUGGAGGAACACCAGUGGCGAAGGCGGCUCUCUGGUCUGUAACUGACGCUGAGGCUCGAAAGCGUGGGGAGCAAACAUG